UACGUAGGGUGCGAGCGUUAAUCGGAAUUACUGGGCGUAAAGCGUGCGCAGGCGGUUUGUUAAGUCCGCUGUUAAAGCCCCGGGCUCAACCUGGGAAUGGCAUUGGAAACUGGCGACCUAGAGUGCGGUAGAGGGUAGUGGAAUUCCCGGUGUAGCAGUGGAAUGCGUAGAGAUCGGGAGGAACAUCUGUGGCGAAGGCGACUGCCUGGACCAGCACUGACACUGAGGCACGAAAGCGUGGGGAGCAAACAGG
rnacentral:rRNA from 1 species